GUUCGAUCAUGGCUCAGAUUGAACUGGCGGGAUGCUUUACACAUACUGCAAGUCAGACGGCGGCACGGACUUCGGUCUGGUGGCGAGUGGCGAACGGGUGAGUAAUGUAUCGGAACGAUUGCCUAGUAGCGGGGGAUAACUACGCGAAAGCGUAGCUAAUACCGCCCACGCCCUUCCAGGGAAAGCGAGGGGACCUUCGGGCCUCGCACUAUUAGGCUGGCCGAUAUCGGAUUAGCUAGUUGGUGGGGUAACAGCUCGCAAGGCGACGAUCCGUAGCUGGUUUGAGAGGACGACCAGCCACACACUGGGACUGAGACACGGCCGAACUCCUACGGGAGGCAGCGGUGGGGAUUUUGUUGGACAAUGGAAACCCUGAUCCCAGCCAUCCCGCGUGUGCGAUGAAGGCCUUCGGGUUGUAAGCCGCUUUUGGCAGGAAAGAAACGGCACGGGAUAAUACCCCCGUGCAACUGACGGUACCUGCAGAAUAAGCACCGGCUAACUACGUGCCAGCAGCAUGAUAAUACGUAGGGUACUGGCGUUAAUCGGAAUUACUGGGCGUAAAGCGUGCGCAGGCGGUUCGGAAGAAAGAUGUGAAAUCCCAGAGCUUAACUUUGGAACUGCAUUUUUAACUACCGAGCUAGAGUGUGUCAGAGGGAGGUGGAAUUCCGCGAUGUAGCAGUGAAAUGCGUAGAUAUGCGGAGGAACACCGAUGGCGAGGCAGCCUCCUGGGAUAACACUGACGCUCAUGCAAGCGUGGGGAGCAAACGGGAUUAGAUAUGCCUGGUAGUCCACGCCUAAACGAUGUCAACUAGCUGUUGGGGCCUUCGGGCCUUGGUAGCGCAACUAACGCGUGAAGUUGACCGCCUGGGGAGUACGGUCGCAAGAUUAAAACUCAAAGGAAUUGACGGGGACCCGCACGGCGGUGGAUGAUGUGGAUUAAUUCGAUGCAACGCGAAAAACCUUACCUACCCUUGACAUGUCUGGAAUCCCGAAGAGAUUUGGGAGUGCUCGCAAGAGAACCGGAACACAGGUGCUGCAUGGCUGUCGUCAGCUCGUGUCGUGAGAUGUUGGGUUAAAGUCCACGCAACGAAGGCGCAACCCUUGUCAUUAGUUGCUACGAAGGGCACUCUAUUGAGACUGCCGGUGACAAACCGGAGGAAGGUGGGGAUGACGUCAAGUCCCUCAUGGCCCAUAUGGGUAGGGCUUCACGUCAUACAAUGGUCGGGACAGAGGGUCGCCAACCCGCGAGGGAGGGGCCAAUCCCAGAAACCCGAUCGUAGUCCGGAUCGCAGUCUGCAACUCGACUGCGUGAAGUCAGAAUCGCUGGCAAUCCCCACGGAUCAGCAUGUCGCGGUAAAGGGCGCAUUCCCGGGUCUUGUACACACCGCCCGUCACACCAUGGGAGUGGGUUUUACCAAAGUAGUUAGCCUAACCGUAAGGAGGCGAUUACCACGGUAGGAUUCAUGACUGGGUGAAGUCGUAACAAAGACAG
rnacentral:rRNA from 1 species